AGCUUCGUAGCGCAGGUGACAGAGCGCUUGCCGCAUUGAGGCAUGGUAUUUCUGUCGCUGGUUCGAAUCCAGCCGAAGCCC